rnacentral:lncRNA from 1 species
GGUAUCCUGGCAGAUAAAUUUCAGUAGUAAAUCCUUAUACUGAAAAAUAUACUUGAGAAAAUUAUGUUCUAUACACAAAAGCCAACUUAAGUUUCAAUCUCUGUUGUUUUUAAUUCUCUCUCUUUCAAAAUAUCAAAGUCUUUCAAAUGGUAACAUGGUUAAAUUCUUUGCCAAAUCCUAUGUGUUAAAAUGAAGGUGUUUUUGAGUCAUCAAAGCUUAUAAAAAGACCUUUAACAAGUAAACAGCUUCUCUCUCUCUCUCUCUCUUUCUCUCUCUCUUUUUUUAAACUGGAAGAUGUGGUAUAAGAAAACACAUUCAUGGACACCAUAUGUGAAUCAAGUUUCAUCCCAAGAUUUUGAGAUUUUUGAGAAUUCCUAGAAAAUGAGAGCUUUACAUUUAUAGUCUGAAGAAGCUCAGUCAGUGCCACUAUUUUCCUCCUGAUGUACAUACAUGAUUUAUACUGACUCAUACUGAUUUGUAUGCAUGUAUAAAACUCAAGGUGUUUUAUUUUGGUCAUUCUAUUGAAAAAUCUUUGAUAAUCUUGUUUCAGAAAAAAGAGGCCAUCACUAGUUCAGGAACAUGAAAAAUAAUCAUUACUCCAGGAUCUCUACUGUCAUUUCAAGAUUAACUUAUAUUGUUCUUGUGCUGUGAUAAACUAUCAACUUUUUUCCCAAAGUACACCACUGCAUUCCCGCAUAGGCUACGUUUCCCUUGGGAACAAUGGGUCCUGGUUGCUGUGGGUUUGGUGCAACAUGGCAGUCCGCAUCUCACACCAGAUCCUCUGGGAAAGAAAAGAACAGUGAACAGUUCUAAUUUUUUUCUCUUUGAAAAGGCUUGUGUUUGAUUUGAACUAUAUUUGUAUGAAUAUAAUAAACACAAGUUGAUGUGAAAAGAUAUUUCUCUUUUAUAGAAUGUUCAUGUUCAUAGGGUAAGUUGCAGAUCAAAAUAUGCAGGUGAAUUAAUUUGUUAUUUAUGAUUGGGCAUAAUUUUAGUUCUUUGGGAAUAUUGAUUUUUUAAAUUUGCAACCAUUUAAACAUGUAUUUGUGUCACCAAUCAUAUGCAUAAUUUAAAACACUG